CCUGACUGGUAUAGGAACAAUGCCAACAUCAAGGUGCCUAUGCCCAUUGCCAGGGGAGCAUUGAGAAUUUUGUCCUUUGAACAAAUUUCCUUCACAUCUCCCAACCCCACCCUCAUCUCCCAGCCACCCAGCUUGAUGCUUUCUUCUCUCUUUCCCCUCCAUCCAAUCCAGUGUGUGUGAGCCAACUGCUCUUACGGAUGGGGCCUGCCCAGGAGUGUGGCCAGCAAGAGCAGGUGAUGAAUAGUUAACAAGGAGCUUACCUGCUGAACGUUCGCACUGGAGGAGCACUCUAAAGGACUCCAAAUAUUUGAGGACAGCAUGCUAGUUUGGAUGGUACUGAGCCUAGCACCACCCAAGAAGGCGAGGAGCCUCUAACUGCCCCCAUAUCCUGGAGAGUUAAAGUAAGGAGCUGAGCCACACCUCAGAGUCCCCGAGGUCUUUGAGGAGGCAGGAGCACCCAGCCCUCAGUCCCAACCUCUCCUUAGCCUCACUCCUUAACCUUCCACAGAUGGAAGAGGAUGGGACAACUAACCCACAGUGCCUGAGGGGCUCCUUAAAGCUACUGAAGUUGAAACAGGACUGCAGGGACUUUUUGUAGCCAACGGGAGCAAAGCUGUCCUUCUGUGGAAAAAAAAAAAGUAGUUGUGGAGCUAAAUCUCUUCACAAGGGCUUCAGGCGCCCAGAAGACAAGGACAAAAAGAAGAAAGGGUUUCCUCAGCCCUCAGCAGGGCUCAGAGCAGGUUGCACAGCCUGCCAGCUGACCCCAUAUCCUGCCUGCAGACAGGAAUAUGGCGAGAGGGGUCUUGGGGAAGCCCCUGGAUGCCUGCCUUGCUGCUUGCUCCCCAUCUUGGUAAUUUGGAAGGAUGGAAUAGCCCGCGCCAUCAGAGUUUGAAGUGUCUUGGCAGAGUCUGCCAGACAGAUGGAGUGAUGUCUCUCUCACUUCUGUCACGUGGCCACUCGGGUUGGAAAGUUUCAAGUGAAGGCAUUGGCUAGGUAAAGGAAGGCAACGCCUUACCCAGGAGGCAGUGGGUGCAACUGUUCUUCUCUCCGGGGAUAGCCUCCGUUGCAGCAGAGGCUGAUGGGAAGGUGAAACUCCUCUCAGGAGCAGCCACGGGCACUAUCUCUGCAGAGACACCCCACACCCCCAGGCCAACAGAGAAUGCUAGUGUGAUUAGGAAUACCUCAGACCCCCUGGGGCCCUAUGAUACUCCCUCCCAACAAUACUCUAUUCCCCCAGUCCUGAGGUUGGGAGGCCUGGUGGAAAGACUCCUCCAAGUCACUUGCACGGGAGGACCAGAGCCCUCACUCCUCCACAGGUCCUAACAGCCAGCUAGCCCAUGAUGUGGGAGGAGCACCUUAAAGCGGACCUGCCACUGGAGUUGAAAGAGGACUGAAGGGACUCUCAGUAACCAACAGUGACCGAAGUGAGAUUAGAGAUGGGGAUCUUACCCUCAUUGUCAAUCCAGGGUUGGGGAAAACACAGGCACUUGGUGUGGUAUAGCCUUCUAAGUCAAUGCCCAAAACUGGCUGUGGUUAAGUAGCAUGUAUCAUGUUUUAGGACUAAGUUCCUUUGCACCUCAGACAUCUGUAUCACACCCUUUCCUUGCAAGGAUCAGAGAUCAUUGUAAAAGAGGAGACAGAAAAACUGCAAGA